GAUGAACGCUGGCGGUAUGCUUAACACAUGCAAGUCGAACGGUCACUUCGGUGAUAGUGGCGGACGGGUGAGUAACGCGUGAGAAUCUGUCUUCAGGUCGGGGACAACAGUUAGAAAUGACUGCUAAUACCGGAUGUGCCUUUGGGUGAAAGAUUUAUUGCCUGAAAAAGAGCUCGCGUCAGAUUAGCUAGUAGGUGGUGUAAGAGACUACCUAGGCUCCGAUCUGUAGCUGGUCUGAGAGGACGAUCAGCCACACUGGAACUGAGACACGGUCCAGACUCCUACGGGAGGCAGCAGUGGGGAAUUUUCCGCAAUGGGCGAAAGCCUGACGGAGCAAUACCGCGUGAGGGACGAAGGCUUUUGGGUCGUAAACCUCUUUUCUCAAGGAAGAUGAUGACGGUACUUGGGGAAUAAGCAUCGGCUAACUCUGUG
rnacentral:rRNA from 1 species